CCGCCCACCUGGCUGUGGUGCCCUGCACGAGCUAGAAGGUUUGGCUACUUCUCCCAACUGUCCUGGUCCUAGGUGUGCUGGGCAGGGCCUGGCCCCUGACUAGACCUCAGAGAUGCUUCUGGAGCCAUACUGACCUGAAGACGAGGCUUGGCCGCAGAGAGCUGGCAGAAGGAACUGGAGCCAGGUUCCUGGGCAGCCUGGGGCAAAGCAGCAGGGCCAAUGGCUGCCCUACGAAACUCCAGAGAAUCCCAGGGACGGGAGAGCCUGGUGGGCUGCUCUGGAGUCACACAGAAUCGGACACGAGGCAACUCAGCAGCAGCAGCAGCAGCAGCAGCAGCAGAAAAGUAAAGGUAGUAAAGGUGACCCAGAGACACUGAGUGACUCACACAUAGUCACACAGCAAGCCUGUGGUAGAGUGAGGACCAAACCCUGAGCUGUGGGCUCCUGGUUCAGUGCUCCCUGCCUCCCACCUUGUUGCCCAUGACCCAGGCCCGUUCUUGGACGUCUCACCUGUGCAUUCACCCAGGGGCCUGAGCUUGGUUUAAUAAUCUGCUAUUGCUGUCUUGAAAUUUUUAAUAAUUUUUAGAAAAGGGACCCCACAUUUUCAUUUUCCUCUGGGACCCACAAAUUAUAUGUGCUGCCUUGCUGGGACCUUGGUGGGUGUGAUUCAAGGAUUAGUCAUGUUUCCUUGGAGAACUGUGGUCCAGCUCUACAACUUCCUAUGUUCUACCUUGAGGAUCGAAGACAGAAGCUGAUAGCAAAGGAGCAUCACCCAGGACUCUGUCUCUCCUUGGCCUAGACUUCUGUUUGGUGCUUCACGCAUGGCAGCUGCUUACCAGGUGGUGUGUUCCAUGCCAGCUCUUCCUGGGGCUCCUCCCUGUGCUGGAUGGUGGCCUGGAGCAAAUGCCAACAAUGCCACCAGAGUCGACCAGUGUCAGAGUAGCUGGUUGAAAAGUAAAAAGUCCUCUCC
ensembl:lncRNA